AUGGAGCACGCCAUGGGAGUUCCCCAUCCACCAUGGUCGCCGUCGUCAAGGGCUUCUUCAAGGAGAUGUGAAGGACGCCAUGGACCUGCAGCUACUCAAGGUUUUAUUCCACCUUUCCUCUUAUAUCAAGUUCUAACAAUACAUUGGGGGAGUGGGGGCGGAGAAGGCACCCCACCUGAAUUUUCAUUUCUCAAGCCUCAAGCGGCGACAGUACCCGGUAACACGAGUACAGGGAGUGUUUUUUACUGGUUACGUCCAAAGUGGAGAGCUAAGAACAACAACCUCAAGGAAACUAUACACAGAGAGCUAGGAGGAUUGGUUUCCAGUCCAGGAGUGAGCUCCUGUCUUUUGAUUUGA
rnacentral:rRNA from 1 species